AUUGGCAAGUGAGCCCCGCCUCCGCUCGCCGAAGGGAGAAUUCUCAUCAAAGAAUAUAGGCAAUCAAAUUCAGAACUCCCUAAACAUCUAAUGUAUUUUACAGUUUUGAUACGUCAACACGUUUCUUUCUGAAGUGAACAUGGGAGUUGGCUGCUAUGAGUACAACUACUUCUACAAGCUCCACCCACAACUACCUUUCCAGCUGCAAGAUAAGGAUUUAUUGGCCAUGAAAACUAACCACGUACAAUGGAUUCCUGAUAGAGACACAGUGCUGGAACCCAAAGGCAGGACUUCCGCCCAGCCAGCCUCCACAUCUGGCAGCCUCCUCAAUUCUCCCUGGGUUGCCCAUCUCGACUCCUAUUCUAGCCAGCACCCCCACACUCCCCAGCACACCCAGAUCAAAAAUCAAUAUCUGGGCGGUUGUUUUUAAAAGUCAGCUUCACUUUUCUACAGAUAUCUAGUCCAGAUCACAAGGGAAAAUACUGUAACAUCCUGGGAUAUGCUGACCUCUUGGUAAAUGUAGGACAGUAUGCAGCAACUCUUAGAAAGUUAAAAGCUUAGUUAGCAGGAGUGACUUAUGCCACUGAAUCUGAGAAGUUAUAUACGACAGACCCAAAUAAAUAACACAUAUCUCUUGCUGUUUGUAGCAAUCUUCACCUUUCCAUUUCUUAUGAGCUUCUUCUCUCCAGAGUUAACAAAUACCCUUGCCAUUAGUUCAAUAAUAAGACACUUGCAGGUGUACAGAGGGAACAGCAGAGUGAUUAAAGGACUUAUAACUCA